rnacentral:rRNA from 1 species
GAAACGUGGAUUAAUACUCCAUAGUACUGUUUUUUCGCAUGAUUAGACAGUUAAAAUUUCGGUGGUAUAAGAUGGGCAUGCGUAGGAUUAGGUAGUUGGUGAGGUAAGAGCUCACCAAGCCGACGAUCCUUAGGGGUUCUGAGAGGAUUAUCCCCCACACUGGUACUGAGACACGGACCAGACUCCUACGGGAGGCAGCAGUGAGGAAUAUUGGUCAAUGGACGAAAGUCUGAACCAGCCAUCCCGCGUGCAGGAUGACGGCCCUAUGGGUUGUAAACUGCUUUUCUAUACCAAGAAACGCCAAUACGUGUAUUGGUUUGCCGGUAGUAUAGGAAUAAGCACCGGCUAACUCCGUGCCAGCAGCCGCGGUAAUACGGAGGAUGCAAGCGUUAUCCGGAUUCAUUGGGUUUAAAGGGUGCGCAGGCGGAACUUUAAGUCAGUGGUGAAAUCUUGCCGCUUAACGGUAAAAUUGCCAUUGAUACUGAAGUUCUUGAAUAUGGUUGAGGUAGGCGGAAUGUGUUGUGUAGCGGUGAAAUGCAUAGAUAUGACACAGAACGCCGAUUGCGAAGGCAGCUUACUAAGCCAUUAU